rnacentral:rRNA from 1 species
CCUACGGGUGGCAGCAGUGGGGAAUAUUGGGCAAUGGAGGCAACUCUGACCCAGCAACGCCGCGUGAAUGAUGACGGUCUUCGGAUUGUAAAGUUCUGUGAUUGGGGGUGAACACCGUGACGGUCCCCCACUAGCACGCCACGGCUAACUACGUGCCAGCAGCCGCGGUAAUACGGAGGUGGCAAGCGUUAUCCCGAAUGACUGGGCGUAAAGGGUGCGUAGGUGGUGUAGUAAGUUGGCGGUGUAAUUCCGGGGCUCAACCCCGGAGCUACCGCGAAAACUAUUAGACUCGAGUGCAGGAGAGGUAAGUGGAAUGCCUAGUGUAGCGGUGGAAUGCGUAGAUAUUAGGAGGAACACCAGGGGCGAAGGCGACUUACUGGACUGUAACUGACACUGAGGCACGAAAGCGUGGGGAGCAAACAGGAUUAGAUACCCGUGUAGUC